rnacentral:lncRNA from 1 species
UAAAAUUGGCAUUUUAUACUCUUUAUUAAAAGCACUGAUUACAGUUAUAUUUUCAAAAUAGAUAUUUUACAAAUAUUAAUGAUUGAUACUAGUAAUGCCCUCUCUGUAAUAGCCUCCCAAGUAACCCAUAGUUCUGUUCUCUAGCCAUUUCAAAUUGCAGUAUUCUUUUUUUUAAUGACACAUUUAGUCUUGUACAUUUCAGCUUCAUAUUGUACUGGUUGUUAAUGAAAUUUUAUUUAUACUCUUAUAAAACCCGGUUCUGGACUAAAGAAAUAUUUUAGAAUUUAAAUUAUAUCCCAUAUUGAUUAUUUAAUUAUUUUAUAACGAAUAAUGAUUAAUUGGGCAUGUACAAUUAUUGUGUAUGUUGUACUGUUCAUAGUACAAUAUCUGAUUUUGGCUUGACCAUACCAGAUAUGCUGGUUGAUUUUACUCAGACUGACCUAUCUAAUUUUUGUCUCUUUUUAUCUAAUGUAAAUAUUAGUUUUCUUGGAAGAUAGCAAAAAGUUGCUGGUCUAGGCAAAAUCGAAAUUGAUUGUCAUAGUGACACAUAUUUUCAUUGCCAACUUCCUUGGGCCACAAAUUUUGUUAUUUAUUUUUUUAUAAAAGGUUUUAUGGUACUUAUAAAAAAAGUUAAGUUAUUUUGUUAUAUAUUUCGAUUGGCAAUACACUUUGUGCGUGAUUGCUUAAAUACGGGUUUGACCUCUGCGGUCGUUCCUUUUCCCAGACCGCCGUCAUGAAGUGAAGAGUGCUUUAGUUCUUUUUGAAAUUCGUGUGAAUUUUACCCAUAUGGGGAUAUAAUUGACUAAAUGUGGUGAUAGUAAAUCAACUUUUUGGGCGUAAUGCUGUAAUUUGUUGUUUUGUUGAAUUUACUGGCCUUUAUGGCGAUUUAAAACCUAAUAAUUUUUCACGUGCCCUCGAACAUCGGCAAAAUAGCGGUUCUGAUUGGCAUUGGCAGGGGACAAUUUAAUUAGCAAGUAGGUAUUCUUGAAUUUAUCGUUUAUACUGAUAGUAUAGGUUUUUCUUUUCUUUUGGCUACUAGAGCUACAUAACAUGGAUUUUGAAUGGAUUUUUUUUGUACGGACCUAAUUUCUUCAUGCCACAUGGUGCUUUCGUUUUGGGGUUAUGUACUCUACUGGCUCUAAUCUAGAAGGAGAUUUUAAGCAACUGUGAGCUAACGUCUAACCUAGACCACUACCAGAGCUUGGCGUAUUGUGAAGUGGAAGAGGUGAAGAGGUGAAACUUGGAAGCCUGCAGUUUUUCUUUGACUGGGAAUUGGAUGUCUGGGAGAAUCUCGAAUCUGAAGUAGUCUGCUGUGUGUGGAGCUAGGUGACACAACAUAACAUUUUUUUUAUUCACUUAUUUUAUUUUUAUUAUCACAACUUUUAUCUUUUGAGUUGAGAUACAUACAUAAGCUUAUUUAAAAUUUUAUUGACAUUAUUUAAUCGAUGCUAUUUUAUUAUUGAAUAUUACUGAUAAGAGUACAUAUAUAUGUGACAAGUGACUCCUGUGAGGUAAGACGCAGCCGGCUUCGUAGUACUACGAGUAUAUACUUGGGUUAUAUUAUUUAUUUUCAAACUACUCCUAAGAUGUCAAAUUUUCUCAGAUUAGCUAGUAAAUAUUAGAGUAAACUAAUAAAAGGGUAAUUUUAAGUGGGCAAGCUUCAACAGUUAGGGUUGUUAUUUUUUUUUUGCUUAGGUCAAUGUCCGUGGCGGGAUAUACCGGGCCAUGUAAAUUAUUAGUUUAAAUUGAAUUGAAGCUUCAUUCCCCACAAGGUUUGGGUGUAACAAAUUUAUUUUAUUUUAACAACCACACCUUUGAUUGUGUAAUUUUUUUUAGAAAGAAAGAUUAUAUUUAAUUUUAUGGCA